UCUGAAAUCAAGUGGGAUUACCCGCUGAACUUAACAU
rnacentral:rRNA from 1 species